AGCGUGGCAGGGCCAAGUGAUCAAAGUGCCAAAAAGAUUUUGUCUGGGAAAUUAAUAAAAACCAUUCCAUUUUCCCAUAAGAAGUCUUUGGUAACUCUAUCUUUGGAUUUGUUCCAAAUAAGGAGUUCAGUGGAACUGAUCGUGAUUUUAAAACAAGUGGACGAUCUGGUCCUGUACAAUUUGAAAAACAACAACAAGAAGAAGAUCCAUUUGGUUUGGAUCAGUUCUUAACACAAGCUAAGCAUGCAUCUAAACGAGCUCAACCUCAAACCGAUCGAGAAAAGCGUAGAAGGAAAGAUUAAUUUUUUUUAAUUCAACACAUGACAAUAAUCACAACAAUGAUAAUAAACUAUAAUUCAAAAUAUAUUCAUACGUAUCGUGUAACAUA